rnacentral:snRNA from 1 species
NNNNNNGAGGGGAUCUGGUGGACAUCGUCACCCCAUUGUCGCCAGGGUUGAUUGGCUGAUUCGGCGGCUAGCGGGUGUCCCCUUCCUCCCUCACCGCUCCAUGUGGGUCCCUCCCGAAACUGCGCGCUCGGUCGAAGAGGACGGCCAUCCCCGAUAGAGGAGUACCGGUCUUCGGUCAAGGGUAUAUGAGUAGCUGCGCUCCCCUGCUAGAACCUCCAAACAAGCUCUCAAGGUCCAUUGAUAUUCUUCCUACUUUAAUCACAGGCUCUGUGUUUUGUGCUGUGCCAAGUAUUCUGU